CUGGGAGCCAUGUUGGAAAGCCCAAAUUGGGCCUGAAAAUGCAUAGAUGCUGGCGGAUGGUGCAUCAGCCCCCAUGGGGCUCUGCAGCCUAGAAAGUAGCAGGACCAGGAAGUUAGCAGGAUGUUUGCAGUGGUCCAGAAGAAGGAGAUUUCCUGUGAGAUCUUUGUAAAUCACUUCAAGGAAAAUAAGGUGGAGAUAGCAAAUGCAAUAACAAAGCCAUUUCCUUUUCUUGAAAGCCUCAGAGACAAUUCUUUUAUCACUGAAAAAAUGUAUACUGAUUCUCAAGAAGCUUAUAUAAACUUGAUUCCUGUACAGAGAGUUGUGUACCAGGUUCUCUGCCACCUGGAGAAGGUGUUUGAUUGUUCAGUUCUGUCAGCAGGAUUAACUUGAAGGAGUAUCCUGAUUUAAUUGAGAUUCAUAAAAGCUUCAAAAAGGUGCUCCCCUUUUCCCAGAAAAGGGAUGGAAAAGAGACACCAAAAAUGCCCAGCUUUCAGCCAAGCUGUAAACAAGGGGUCAUCCAUUAUGAAACCAGAACAGAAACCUCUGAGCCUGUCUGGGAUGUGAAGUCAACAUAUAUAUAAAGCCAGAACAUUCUAGCCUUGGCCCAGGUGAUGCUCUUGGGACACAGCAAGCAAACACAAGCACCCAGUGCCCAGGGAACUCAAGGGUCUCCAAAUAAAAAAGGAGAGAGGGUCAGAAGAGAUGCCCAAUGGACGGCCACAUGGUAGACAAG